rnacentral:rRNA from 1 species
GACGAACGCUGGCGGCGUGCUUAACACAUGCAAGUCGAACGGAAAGGCCCUGCUUUUGUGGGGUGCUCGAGUGGCGAACGGGUGAGUAACACGUGAGUAACCUGCCCUUGACUUUGGGAUAACUUCAGGAAACUGGGGCUAAUACCGGAUAGGAGCUCCUGCUGCAUGGUGGGGGUUGGAAAGUUUCGGCGGUUGGGGAUGGACUCGCGGCUUAUCAGCUUGUUGGUGGGGUAGUGGCUUACCAAGGCUUUGACGGGUAGCCGGCCUGAGAGGGUGACCGGCCACAUUGGGACGGAGAUACGGCCCAGACUCCUACGGGAGGCAGCAGGGGGGAAUAGUGCACAAUGGGCGGAAGCCUGAUGCAGCAACGCCGCGUGCGGGAUGACGGCCUUCGGGUUGUAAACCGCUUUCGCCUGUGACGAAGCGUGAGUGACGGUAAUGGGUAAAGAAGCACCGGCUAACUACGUG